GAACGCGAAGAACCUUACCUACUCUUGACAUCCAGAGAACUUAGCAGAGAUGCUUUGGUGCCUUCGGGAACUCUGAGACAGGUGCUGCAUGGCUGUCGUCAGCUCGUGUUGUGAAAUGUUGGGUUAAGUCCCGCAACGAGCGCAACCCUUAUCCUUUGUUGCCAGCGAUUCGGUCGGGAACUCAAAGGAGACUGCCGGUGAUAAACCGGAGGAAGGUGGGGAUGACGUCAAGUCAUCAUGGCCCUUACGAGUAGGGCUACACACGUGCUACAAUGGCGCAUACAAAGAGAAGCGACCUCGCGAGAGCAAGCGGACCUCAUAAAGUGCGUCGUAGUCCGGAUCGGAGUCUGCAACUCGACUCCGUGAAGUCGGAAUCGCUAGUAAUCGUGGAUCAGAAUGCCACGGUGAAUACGUUCCCGGGUCUUGUACACACGCA
rnacentral:rRNA from 1 species